UUUGGAAGUAAAAGUCGUAACAAGGUUUCCGUAGGUGAACCUGCGGAAGGAUCAUUGACAUCGACCCACGAACGACCUGCGAACCGUUGAAAACUCACUCAAUAUGCCUGGACGGCGUCGGUAGAGGGUUGGGGGCAUCCUCUUGCCCUCUCGGGCGUCCGCCCAAUCAGAUCGGCGCGGAAAGCGCCAAGGAACACGUAAUCGUAAAAGGAGCGCGGGAGUCUCUUUYGACACCCGCGAUCCGAAGAGAUCCACUUACGACUCUCGGCAACGGAUAUCUUGGCUCUCGCAUCGAUGAAGAACGUAGCAAAAUGCGAUACUUGGUGUGAAUUGCAGAAUCCCGUGAACCAUCGAGUCUUUGAACGCAAGUUGCGCCCGAGGCUUCUGUCGAGGGCACGCCUGCCUGAGCGUCAUGCAUUGCGUCGCUCCCCCCCGAAUCCCCCUCUUAGGGAUGGGUUGUGGAUGCGGAGGAUGGUCGCCCGUUUCGUCCCCUCGACGUAGCGGCCGACUGAAAUGAAGUUGGGGCACCCGGCAUCGCGCGGCCCGACGAUUGUUGGACCCUCGUACCCGUUGUUACUAUUGACGGCGUCGAGGCGCGCGCGUCCGUGUGUUGUCCCCACGUUGGAUGGACCCUCUCUCUUGAUCGUGGCUCCCGUGCCCUGUAUCGAGACCGCGACCUCAGGUCAGACGGGAUUACCCGCUGAGUUUAAGCAUAUCAAUAAGCG
rnacentral:rRNA from 1 species